rnacentral:rRNA from 1 species
UGCCAGACUCCUACGGGAGGCAGCAGUGAGGAAUAUUGGUCAAUGGGCGAGAGCCUGAACCAGCCAAGUCGCGUGAGGGAAGACGGUCCUAUGGAUUGUAAACCUCUUUUGCCGGGGAGCAAAAAGCGGUACGUGUACCGCAUCGAGAGUACCCGGAGAAAAAGCAUCGGCUAACUCCGUGCCAGCAGCCGCGGUAAUACGGAGGAUGCGAGCGUUAUUCGGAUUUAUUGGGUUUAAAGGGUGCGUAGGCGGACUGGAAAGUCAGCGGUAAAAUCGAGAGGCUCAACCUCUUUCCGCCGUUGAAACUGUCGGUCUUGAGUGGGCGAGAAGUAUGCGGAAUGCGUGGUGUAGCGGUGAAAUGCAUAGAUAUCACGCAGAACUCCGAUUGCGAAGGCAGCAUACCGGCGCCCAACUGACGCUGAAGCACGAAAGCGUGGGUAUCGAACAGGAUUAGAUACCCGAGUAC